ACGUGAUCUGAGUUCAGACCGGAGCAAUCCAGGUCAGUUUCUAUCUAUAAAGAGCUCUUUCCAGUACGAAAGGACCGAAAAAGCAUGGCCAAUACUUUAUGCAAGCCAUCUCCAAUAAUUUAUGAUUAUCACUUAAUAAAUAAUUUACUUCAAUUUACCUCAAGAAAAGAGA
rnacentral:rRNA from 1 species